CCUACGGGUGGCUGCAGUCGAGAAUUUUUCACAAUGGGCGCAAGCCUGAUGGUGCGACGCCGCGUGGGGGAUGAAUGGCUUCGGCCCGUAAACCCCUGUCAUUUGCGAUCAAACCUUGCUAUUUAAAAGAUGGCGAGCUGAUAGUAGCGAAAGAGGAAGGGACGGCUAACUCUGUGCCAGCAGCCGCGGUAAUACAGAGGUCCCAAGCGUUGUUCGGAUUCACUGGGCGUAAAGGGUGCGUAGGUGGUGGGAAAUCUCGGAGCUCAACUCCGAAAUGGCAUUGGAAACUACCCUGCUAGAGGGUCGGAGGGGGGACUGGAAUUCUCGGUGUAGCAGUGAAAUGCGUAGAUAUCGAGAGGAACACCAGUGGCGAAGGCGAGUCCCUGGACGACUCCUGACACUGAGGCACGAAAGCUAGGGGAGCAAACAGGAUUAGAUACCCCUGUAGUC
rnacentral:rRNA from 1 species